GAACGGUCGCGUAACACGUAGGCAACCUGCCCCAAAGACCGGGACAACAGUUCGAAAGGACUGCUAAUACCGGAUGUGGUCACUCCCUCUCAUGGGGGGGUGAGUAAAACCGAGCAAUCGGGCUUUGGGAGGGGCCUGCGGCCUAUCAGCUAGAUGGUGGGGUAACGGCCUACCAUGGCGACGACGGGUAGCUGGUCUGAGAGGAUGGUCAGCCGGACUGGGACUGAGACACGGCCCAGACUCCUACGGGGGGCAGCAAUUAGGAAUCUUGCACAAUGGGCGAAAGCCUGAUGCAGCGACGCCGCGUGGAGGAGGACGGCCUUCGGGUUGUAAACUCCUUUUAUCAGGGAAGAAACAAAUGACGGUACCUGAUGAAUAAGCCCCGGCUAACUCCGUGCCAGCAGCCGCGGUAAUACGGAGGGGGCGAGCGUUGUCCGAAGUUACUGGGCGUAAAGCGCGCGUAGGCGGGGAGGAAAGUCCGCUGUGAAAGCCCGAGGCUUAACCUCGGCGGGUCGGUGGAUACUUCCUCUCUUGAAGGUGCUAGGGGGAAAUGGAAUGACCGGUGUAGCGGUGAAAUGCGUAGAUAUCGGUCGGAA
rnacentral:rRNA from 1 species